GACGAACGCUGGCGGCGUGCCUAAUACAUGCAAGUAGAACGCUGAAGGAGGAGCUUGCUUCUCUGGAUGAGUUGCGAACGGGUGAGUAACGCGUAGGUAACCUGCCUGGUAGCGGGGGAUAACUAUUGGAAACGAUAGCUAAUACCGCAUAAUAGCAGUUAUUGCAUGAUAACUGUUUGAAAGGUGCAAAUGCACCACUACCAGAUGGACCUGCGUUGUAUUAGCUAGUUGGUGAGGUAACGGCUCACCAAGGCGACGAUACAUAGCCGACCUGAGAGGGUGAUCGGCCACACUGGGACUGAGACACGGCCCAGACUCCUACGGGAGGCAGCAGUAGGGAAUCUUCGGCAAUGGACGGAAGUCUGACCGAGCAACGCCGCGUGAGUGAAGAAGGUUUUCGGAUCGUAAAGCUCUGUUGUAAGAGAAGAACGAGUGUGAGAGUGGAAAGUUCACACUGUGACG
rnacentral:rRNA from 1 species